rnacentral:snoRNA from 1 species
AAGCCAGUAUAAUUAAUUGCAUCUGGAUUACCUGAAUGUGUUUUUCAGAAGUAAAAUGCUGGCAAUAGUACAGCCAUGGUACGAGCCUCAAUGACUGAGGUCCUUGAGGUCCCUGAAAAUGGCUACAUUA